GGGCCCAGCUCCGCCCCUCUCCCCGAUGGCUGUAUUAACGCAGCGCGCACAGGCUCGGUCUUUCCGUCCCGGCCUUGGUGGCCGAUCCACCCGAGCCGGUCCCCACUGCCCAGCCGUGCUGCUGCCUCGGACACAAGCGCAGGUUGAAAACUACAAGAAACUCGUGACUGAAUGGCUCCAAGGUGAAGUACUCUUGCAUGUAGUGACCAGGCUUGCCUGUAUCCCACUUUAGGAUUAGUGUCGAAGCUGAAAUAGGUGAAGUCCAUUUUACAAAUAGUGGGGGCCAUGUGAGUUUCCUUGAAUGGCCUUGUAACUGAUUACCCUGAAGGUAGUUUCCUAAAGUUUUUAAUCAAUGUACUAGGAUCCUGCCCCACCCCUUCUGCAUGUCCCACUGCCCUAGAAUCAGAUCUGCAUGGCUAUGACAUGCUGGCCAUUUUAAAGAUGCAAAGAUUUCAUGCUAGAUCAUCAGAAUGUAUCUGGACUUCGUUAGGACAAGUUCUUUGCUAGCAAUCGAGGUGUGUUAACCUGUAUAUUGUUGCCUAUGAGUAAUUUUCCAUAAUCUUAAAUAAAGGCUUCCUGUGUCAAUUCUAUGGCGGUCUUUUUCUUUUUGUGAGUAGUCACUCGUUCUUAUCACUGGGGUGGGGGUGGGGUCAGAACCACUUGGAGCAAUCUGUCCUUCCCCCAGGAUCAAACUCAGGCUGUCAGGCCUGGUGCCAGCCACUGCUAGCUGUAAGGUUAUUUCUUAGCAUUGUUUUUCCCUUUGGCCUUUCCAAGCUUCUGUAUCGUGCCUAUUGAAUGAACCCACGAUUUAUAUUCAUCUAUACCUUGUAUAUGUGAUGCUAGGGAUAUAACUUGUCCUUAGGCUGCAUGGCGCCUUUCCCUGGGCCUUUUAAUUUUCAGAAGUGGUUUCAUCUUAAAAGAAGCCAGCUUCAAGGAUACAAAGUUGUGUGAGUAUGCAGGGAGACAAUGGAAACUGUUACAAUUGUGUCUGAAAUGUCAAUUGUUUCUAUUUACACAAUAGCUUUAAAGUUUAAAAGGUCUCUGGCCAAAGUAGACAAAACUCUAGCACAGUUCGGCUAUAACUAUAUUGGCUACAUUGUACUGAGAGUGAGUACUCAGUAGCCACAUAUGGCCAGGGACAGCACAGUACAGGUUUCUGUUACUAUAGGGUUGCUGGUAGCUAUAUAAGCUACUCUGAAAACAUCUUGGUCUUUUUUUUUUUUUAAAGUGAGCAGCCUGUAGAUGUGCCUCCAUGAUGACAAAGUCGGGGUGUGGGCAGAGGAAGCUGGAGGAUGGGACGUUACCAUCACACCCUGCUUUUUAAUUGGGCCAGUGGGACAUCAGUAAGAUGAGCAGGAGUCUAAAACUACCUGGUGGCACCUGCACUAGCCAGAAAAAGGACACAGGCUGCAUUUAAUUGAAAGGUAUAAUGUAGAAAAAUUCAAAACAGACUGGAGAGCUCGCUUGUCACUUAGGGACCACUUGCUAUUGCAGAGGGCCUGGGUUUGGUUCCCAGCACUCACAGGGAGGCUCACAACCUCUAGGGAAAAGCUUGGGAUAUACAUGUAGUCAAACACCGAAAGUCUUAAAAAUGCCAAAGCUACCUGUAUGCUUUUAUGUUGCAAUUUCAGUGCUUAAGUUGCAGUUUUACAACACAAAGACGGGAAAGGAAAUAGGUAUAUAUUUACUAGGUUUUGAGUGUGUACUUGUUCAAAAUUAAGUCCAUUUAAAGUAGAAAUGAAGUUGAAAUAUUACCAACAAGUGAAGUUGUAAUUUGCAGGGGUAGAGGGCAUAAAGGGCAUUAAACUCACCGGUCCUCAUAGCCCUUAGAUCCAUGCACCCAUGAAGCCAAUGGAAGAUGUUCAAUAUGUAUUACAUGUUGACAUUUCCUUGAGAACAAUGGCCCUGAAUGUAUGCCCAAGUUACAGGUUCUUGUAUUUGCUUAGGCCUCUGCAAGAUCAUCAAGGUAACAAUGAGGGGCAGUUUUUCCAGAAGUGAUUUUAACUUUGCAGCUACUUUCACCUGUUGGUGUUCCUCAGAUUUUAUAUAAAUGCUGUCGCUGACUGCAUUGAUAAGGGCUCUGGAGGUGUAACAAAGUCAUCAGGCACUAUCAGUGUUUCUCAGCCUUCCUAAUACAGUUGGGACCUCUUUAAUAAGUUCCUGAUGUUGGGACCCCUAACCAUAAUUACUUCAUUGCUACUUCAUAACCAAGUUUGUUACUGUUAACAAUUGCAAUGUAAAUAUCUGAUAUGCAGGAUAUGAUCUGUGACCCCAAGGGGACCCAGAGAUCGAACCACUGUUAGAUGAACCAAGUUACAGCCAAUACUAGCAAUAGCUACUAUGGCUGAUUUCUCAAGCUGCUCAUGAAGGAUUAGA